rnacentral:rRNA from 1 species
ACACGAACCGCACGAACGUUAUUCGGAAUCACUGGGCUUAAAGGGUGCGUAGGCGGUCCGGUAAGUUGGGUGUGAAAGCCCUCGGCUCAACCGAGGAAUUGCGCCCAAAACUACCGGACUUGAGGAAGACAGAGGUGAGCGGAACUUGCGGUGGAGCGGUGAAAUGCGUUGAUAUCGCAAGGAACACCAGUGGCGAAAGCGGCUCACCGGGUCUUUUCUGACGCUGAGGCACGAAAGCUAGGGGAGCGAACGGGAUUAGAAACCCCAGUAGUCC